rnacentral:rRNA from 1 species
GACGAACGCUGGCGGCGUGCCUAAUACAUGCAAGUUGAGCGCUGAAGGUUGGUACUUGUACCGACUGGAUGAGCAGCGAACGGGUGAGUAACGCGUGGGGAAUCUGCCUUUGAGCGGGGGACAACAUUUGGAAACGAAUGCUAAUACCGCAUAAAAACUUUAAACACAAGUUUUAAGUUUGAAAGAUGCACUUGCAUCACUCAAAGAUGAUCCCGCGUUGUAUUAGCUAGUUGGUGAGGUAAAGGCUCACCAAGGCGAUGAUACAUAGCCGACCUGAGAGGGUGAUCGGCCACAUUGGGACUGAGACACGGCCCAAACUCCUACGGGAGGCAGCAGUAGGGAAUCUUCGGCAAUGGACGAAAGUCUGACCGAGCAACGCCGCGUGAGUGAAGAAGGGUUUCGGAUCGUAAAACUCUGUUGGUAGAGAAGAACGUUGGUGAGAGUGGAAAGCUCAUCAAGUGACGGUAACUACCCAGAAAGGGACGGCUAACUACGUG